rnacentral:misc_RNA from 1 species
UGCGCUUGCAGAGGUCAUUCGGCUAAGUGAUUCUAGCACCUGCAAGCAUACCACGUUAUCGGUAACAGUCCCAAGCUUGCGAUCUCUCAACGACAUCUAUAAAACUGUCAAAAUGGCUGGGAUGACAUGGGGUAAAUAUUUGGCAAGCACACAUUUCUGGGGGCCUGUUGCCAACUGGGGCCUGCCGAUAGCUGCGAUGAUGGACCUGAAGAAAGACCCAACCAUGAUCAGUGGUAAAAUGACCACAGCCCUUUGUAUAUAUUCCAUGUUGUUUAUGCGAUUUGCAUGGAAAGUACAGCCGAGGAACAUGCUCCUGUUUGCCUGCCAUGCGACUAAUGAAACAACACAGCUAGUACAGCUAAUGAGAUUUACACAUCAUUUUUAUCUAAAGUCUCCAGAGGCUCCAGAAGAGUACCAAACAUCAGUACACAAGCCAACAGAAUAGAUGUGAUAUUGUCUUGCUGGCAUGUUUGUAUAUUUAUUACAACAGAAUAGAUGUGAUAUUGUCUUGGAAUAAAUGCUGAAUUUGUCUGCCCAGCAUGUUUGUGUAGAUAUUGAUUAAUUCUCACAGACAUGUAUGUGUAGGUGUCGAUUAAUUCUCACAGACAUGUAUGUGUAGUGUCGAUUAAUUCUCACAGACAUAUAUGUGAAGGUAUCGAUUAAUUCUCACAGACAUGUAUGUGUAGGUGUCGAUUUAUUCUCACAGACUUGUAUGUGUAGGUGUCGAAUUAUUCUCACAGACAUGUAUGUGUAGGUGUCGAUUAAUUCUCAGACAUAUACAUGUGUAGGUGUCAAUUAAUUCUCACAGACAUGUAUGUGUAGGUGUCGAUUUAUUCUCACAGACUUGUAUGUGUAGGUGUCGAAUUAUUCUCACAGACAUGUAUGUGUAGGUGUCGAUUUAUUCUCACAGACAUGUUUGUGUAGGUGUCGAUUAAUUCUCACUGACAUGUAUGUGUAGAUGUCAAUUUAUUCUCACAGACAUGUAUGUGUAGGUGUCGAUUUAUUCUCACAGACUUGUAUGUGUAGGUGUCGAAUUAUUCUCACAGACAUGUAUGUGUAGGUGUCGAUUAAUUCUCACAGACAUGUAUGUGUAGUGUCGAUUAAUUCUCACAGACAUAUAUGUGAAGGUGUCGAUUAAUUCUCACAGACAUGUAUGUGUAGGUGUCAAUUAAUUCUCACAGACAUGUAUGUGUAGGUGUCGAUUAAUUCUCACAGACUUGUAUGUGUAGGUUUCUUUAUAUUCUCACCAACAUGUUUGUGUAGGUAUUGAUUAAUUCUCACCAACAUGUAUGUGUAGGUGCCGAUAUAUAUUCUCACAAAUUCUCACAGACGUAUAUGUGUAGGUGUCGAUUAAUUCUCACAGACAUGUAUGUGUAGGUGUCGAUUAAUUCUCAGACAUAUACAUGUGUAGGUGUCAAUUAAUUCUCACAGACAUGUAUGUGUAGGUGUCGAUUAAUUCUCACAGACAUAUAUGUGUAGGUGUCGAUUAUUUAUCACAGACAUAUAUGUGUAGCUGUCGAUUUAUUGUCACAGACAUGUAUGUGUAAGUGUCUUUAUAUUCUCAACAACAUGUUUGAGUAGGUGUCGAUUAAUUCUCACUAACAUUUAUGUGUAGGUGUCGAUUUAUUCUCACAGACAUGUAUGUGUAGGUGUCGAUUUAUUCUCACAGACAUGUUUGUGUAGGUGUCGAUUAAUUCUCACUGACAUGUUUGUGUAGGUGUCGAUUUAUUCUCACAGACAUGUAUGUGUAGGUGUCUUUAUAUUCUCACAGACAUGUAUGUGUAGGUGUCGAUUAAUUAUCACCGACAUGUAUGUGUAGGUGUCUUUAUAUUAUCACCAACAUGUAUGUGUAGGUGUCGAUUUAUUCUCACAGACAUGUAUGUGUAGGUGUCGAUUUAUUCUCACAAACUUGUAUGUAAAUAGGUGUCAAUUUAUUCUCACGGACAUGUAUGUCUAGCUAGGUGUCAAUUUAUUCUCACUGAAUAUGUUUCUCUAGCUAGGUGUCAAUUUAUUUUCACGGAAUAUGUUUGUGUAGGUGCUGAUUUUGUGUACCAACAUGUUUGUUUAACUGUUGAAAUAGAAGAAGUGCUUGCAUCGUCUCAACAACACAUUUGUUUUAUCACGUUUGAAUUAAGUGCUCCUGAAAAGUGGUUUUAGGCAGCAAUGGUUGAUGCAAGUAUACAUACAUGUACAGUGAAUACUAGCUAGUAAGAAUUUGAAGAUCAAUUCAUUAUCUCUAUGUGGCAUGUGACAUAUUUCUUAAAAUAACGGGCCUAUAGCAAUUACUUAAUCAAAGCAACACAUUUUAAAAUGAGUUCUGAAUGUAAAACCCAAUGUUAGUUUAUGCCACUGUGAUGCCUUAUAUUGUACAUUAUCCUAGUUACAGUGACUGUGUUCUUUACAUAAUGAUGUUCUCUAUGAAAACAUGUCUCAAAUUGCAUUUAAAAGAUUUUAAUAAUCAGGAAAAAAACUUCCAAUAGGGCAUAUAUAUGUGCAUUUUAAACUAAUUUUACUGCCAUUUCUUUAAUUAACGGUCAGAUUUUAAUAGUAACAUGCCUUUUUCAUAUGAUCUUUCGAAAGGGCAUCAAGUGAUCUUUGAAUGUGUUGCAACCUUGACCCAAGGUCAUAUCUCUGUGGUCAAUGUCACAGAGUUUGGACAUCUUUAACUGGCUUCAAAGCUAUAAUUCUGUACUUGUACUCUUUUGUACAGAUGAAGAGUUGGUGAGGCAUAUGCAUUGUGCCUAUCUGUGGGAUUGAGAUACCCGACAUGUUUGACAGCUCACAUUUCUCUAUCUUACACAUAGGUAGUGGCAAAACAAUACUGUUACUUAUUUAUAUUGUAAGUUCUCUACUCAGUUUAUGUAUUUAAAAUGGGUAUGAUGAGAUUACUGAUGUUUUAUGCAUUUUAGAAUGUUAAGUACUUUUACAUAAUGAACACAUUGCUGAUGAAUGAGAGUUUAUGUGAAUGUAGGUAAGAGGGUGAGAGGCAUUUUAUAUUUAGUAUUGUUUUGGUACAGGACAGGGCAUUUAAUCGCCAUUUAUAAUAUCUAUUGGAAAGAUAUAAUACAACAUAAUCAUCCAUUGAAAUAUUGUAUUAGUGAACGUUAAUAAAGUCUUAAUUAAGUCUGAAAUUUUGUUCAGCUAUCUUCUGCUUAUAUGUAUGCAAACAUUGAUUAAAGGUUCUAUGUAAUUAUGAAGGGAGGCACUAUUAGUUUUCAGAUGUAAAAUACAUUUUGCUAUAAAUUAGAAUAAUGCACUGUUUAUUCAUAACAAAAUUGAUGUGUGAAAGAUGAGAGAGUCGGGACAUUUAGAUCAGGUGUGUUUGCCGUCAUACAUGUACAUACAAGUGUAAUUUGUUUUGUGAUGGUGCACUGAGUAGUACCGAGUAUCAUUAGAAUUUUGAUCCGAGUGUAAUUUUCACAAACAUGGAACUGAGUUUUAUAUGAAAUCAAUUGUUAGCUGUAAUAUGUGAGCAAUCAAUGUCAUAUACUGCUGUAAAAAUGAAGUCUGUUCAGUAGAACUUACUGUCUAUAGCUAGUUAUAAAAAUACCCAAGGAUGUUCAUGUAGACUUACUGUCUAGUUAUAAAAAUAUCCAAGGAUGUAGCAUAAACCCCGUAAAAAGAUUUGACUCAGUGUAAUAGAUCCCAUUACCCAUUUCACUUGGAUGAGUCCAUUGAUUAUUUAGAGAACAUUCCACUUACCCACCUGCUGUGUUAGCUAUGGUAAUACAUCCCUCACAUGUGUGUACUAGAUGUAGAGUUGGUACAUGUAGUCUGGAAAAACUACCUUGAACUCCUUCCUGUGUGAUGAUGAAUUAUAUCAUUGGAUGAGGACAUUGUUUAUAGUGCUACUGUAUAUAUACACUGUAAAUCACCUUAAAUGAAGAAAACUAGGCUGUGUUGGGGGUGGUUGGGGGUGUGGCCCAUGUUGGAGGUUCUUUAAGUGUUUGAGGUUGAUUGAGGGUGUCACAGAGAACAGUUAUAUUGUUGUAGUUGUUGAUACAUUAGGUUCAGUAAAUGUUAACAUGCUCCAUUAAGUUAGCUUCUCCCCAUCAGCUUCACUUUGGUUGUGCCCUAUGAGUUACUUACCGGUAGGUCUAGCAUGCUGUGUGGUAGCUUAUAGGAUUUUAAAUGAUAAUUUCGUAAAAUUUAAGCAAUAUGGUGUAAAUUAUUUGUAACACAUUGUCAAAUAUUGGAGAAAAAGGGAGAAUGGUUAUGCAAUGAAUGUCUACUUAAAACCAUCUAAAAAAAGUGAAAAAAAUCUGAUCCUUACUUAAUGUUAGCCUGCAAGGCAUGUUAAACAACCUGAAAGUAAAUCUUUUGGUGUUUAAAAAUCAUAUUGUCAAUACCAAAGCUGCUUGAGGCAAUCUACAUUUGUAUAUUGGUUUUGUUAAUCGGCAGAGGUAUGGAUAAUCAUAACAUGGUAAUUUGGAUAGACGAUUUUUGGAAACAAGGAUAUAAACAUUUUCCGAUGGGCAUGGGCGAUAAUUACACGUACAGCAGUUUGACGAGGACGAUUGUUUACAUGUAUAAUUAUUGCUGAACAUUGAUUGUUCUCAGGUGAAGGUUAAAUACUUGGGUAGCCUAAACUAAGUUAUACACUAGUGAAGGGAGAGGAGGGCGAUUGUUAUAGGGACUCUUCACAAAUACAAUUACAUGUAAAACUUGGUGAUAAACUAAACAAUUUUGGCCUCUGAAGUAGAUAGUCUAAGCAAUUUUUGUAAUUUGUAUUCAAUAGAUCCGACACAGUAUCAUACCUGUUAAGUAAUAGCAAAAAGGUAGUGUAUGCUUUGCAAAUGUUUUAUUUAUCAUAUAUUAACAUUUUUACGAAAUUGUUAUUUUUCUAUUUAAACUUUGAUUUCAAGUUUGAUGAAGAUUGUUGACAUGCAAAUGUAAAUGUUGCAUAGAAAUAAAGAUAAACUGAAACUUGAACAUUGACAUAAAUUAGUUGUACACAAGGUGGCAACUGAAACGAGCGAUGUAUUUUUUUUCUCCUUUACACUUACAAAAGAAAAAUUCAGAUGAGUAUCUUAAUAGCUCAUCUAUAUCCUUAAUUAUUAUGUACUGUAUAAUCUGAGAGGGAAGUAUCUCUUUUUGAAUAAAAAGUGUCAACUUGUU